UACGUAGGGAGCAAGCGUUGUUCGGAUUUACUGGGCGUAAAGGGCGCGUAGGCGGCGCGGUAAGUCACUUGUGAAAUCUCUGAGCUUAACUCAGAACGGCCAAGUGAUACUGCAGUGCUAGAGUGCAGAAAGGGCAAUCGGAAUUCUUGGUGUAGCGGUGAAAUGCGUAGAUAUCGGAAGGAACAUCAGUGGCGAAAGCGGCUUCCUGGACCAGCACCGACGUUCAGGCACGAAAGCGUGGGGAGCAAACAGG
rnacentral:rRNA from 1 species